GGCAUCUCCCAAUUCUUACCAUUUGUAUGGAAUUUUCCGAAUCUUCUACAGAUCAACGUGUUCCCAGAGAUCAGUAGUGGAAAAUGGCGCCACCCCCUCAAUACCAGCGUUAUCCUUCUCCGUCUCAGCCAUCGGGAAAAGGAGAGGUUUCGGAUCUUAAACUGCAGCUUCGACAGCUGGCAGGUAGCCGAGCCCCUGGAACUGAUGAUGCAAAGAGAGAUCUUUUCAAGAAGGUUAUAUCUUAUAUGACUAUUGGAAUUGAUGUAUCAUCAGUUUUCAGUGAAAUGGUUAUGUGUGCGGUUACCCCCGACAUUGUUCUUAAAAAGAUGUGCUAUUUAUACGUUGGAAAUUACGCAAAACACAAUCCAGAUCUUGCACUUCUGACUAUUAACUUUCUUCAAAGAGAUUGCAAGGAUGAGGAUCCAAUGAUUCGGGGUUUAGCUUUGAGAAGUCUUUGUUCGCUUGGUGUGGCAAAUCUGGUGGAGUACUUGGUCGGGCCAUUGAAUAAUGGCCUGAGCGAUGCAAAUGGUUAUGUAAGGAUGGUGGCAGCUGUUGGAGUGCUUAAGCUGUAUCACAUUUCAGCUUCAACAUGUUUGGAUGCCGAUUUUCCAUCUAUUCUAAAGAAUUUAAUGCUUAAAGAUAGAGAGUGUCAGGUGGUUGCAAACUGUUUGAAAUCUUUACAAGGGAUCUGGAGUCUGGAAGCAAUGAAAUCCGAGGAAGCAGUAAGGGAGUUAGAAGCUUUGCAUACCAAGCAGAUGGUUUAUUACUUUUUAAAUAGAAUAAAAAAUUUCAAUGAAUGGGCACAAUGUGUAGUCCUAGAGCUGGUUUCAAACUACGUUCCAACGGAUAGUGAGGAGAUCUUUGACAUUAUGAAUCUUCUUGAAGAUAGACUUCAACAUGCCAACGGCGCGGUUGUCCUUGCUACCAUUAAGUUGUUCUUACAUAUGACCCUGUCAAUGCCCGAUGUUCAUCAACAGGUGUAUGAGCGGAUUAAAGCCCCUCUCCUCACUUUGGCAAGCUCCGGGAGUCCUGAGCAGUCUUUUGCAGUUCUAAGCCACCUACAUCUGCUAGUACUGCGUGCACCAUAUCUUUUUGCUUCUGAAUACAAGCAUUUCUACUGCCAGUACAAUGAGCUGUUCUAUGUGAAAAGGUUGAAGCUUGAGAUGCUGACUGCUGUGGCAACAGAGAGCAAUACAUAUGAGAUAGUGACCGAACUUUGCGAAUAUGUUGCAAAUGUUGAUAUUCCAAUGGCAAGGGCUUCCAUUCGAGCUGUUGGAAAGAUUGCGCUGCAACAGUACGAUGUAAAUGCUAUUGUGGAUCGGCUGCUUCAGUUUUUGGAAAUGGAGAAAGAACACGUGACUGCAGAAACCCUUGUUCUUGUGAAAGAUCUUCUAAGGAAGUACCCACAGUGGAGCCAUGACUGCUUAGCUGUGGUUGGGAAUAUCAGUAGCAAAAGUGUUCAAGAACCCAAAGCCAAGGCAGCCCUUAUUUGGAUGCUCGCUGAAUACGAUCAAGACAUGAAAGAUAGUCCUUACAUUUUAGAAAGUUUUGUGGAUAAUUGGGAAGGGGAGCAUUCUGCAGAGGUACGUUUGCAUCUUCUUACAGCAGUAAUGAAGUGUUUCUUCAGACGACCACCGGAGGCUCAGAAGGCCCUUAGAGGUGCUCUAGCCGCUGGUCUUGCGGAUUUUCAUCAGGAUGUUCGUUCCCGGGCAUUAUUCUACUACAGACUUUUAAAGUAUGAUAUUUCUGUCGCAGAACGGAUCGUAAAUCCUCCCAAACAAGCCGUCUCAGUCUUUGCAGACAUCCAAAGUAGCGAAAUCAAAGAUCGCAUCUUCGACGAAUUCAACAGCCUCUCUGUCGUAUACCAAAAGCCAUCAUACAUGUUCGUCAAUAAAGAGUAUAGAGGGCCGUUUGCGUUCUCGGGGGACAUCGGUAGCGUCAACCCCGAAUCCACAGACGAUGUUGUUACAGCUCAAGGAUUCGAGGCAAACGACAAGGACUUGUUAUUGAGUGUUUCCGAGAAAGAAGAUAAUCAGAGCUGCGCCAACAACGGAUCUGCUUACAGCGCCCCUUCUUACAACUCCUCCAAAACAACUACGCGCGUCUCUCACAGUCAGCCCGACCUCGCAUCACUAGACAAACCGUCAUUACAUAAAACUCCUAGCUUGGCGAUCGAAGAACUCCUCGGCCUGGGAACGCCUCCUUUACAGCUCAAUCCUAAAGCCACCAUCGAUCCAAACACUUUUCAACAGAAAUGGCGCCAACUACAUGUCUCUGAAUCCCAGGAAAUCUCCAUCGAACCACAAGGGGUGGCUGCGUUGACGAAUCCUCAGGCCCUCCCGCAGCACAUGCAACGCCAUUCAAUCUUCUGCAUUGCGUCGGGAGGUCACGCCCCGAACUUCAAGUUCUUUUUCUUCGCGCAGAAGUCAUCGGAGUCGGAGUCCGCCGGGUACCUUAUAGAGUGUAUCAUAAACUCGUCGUCGUGUAAAGUGCAGGUGAAGAUCAAAUGUGAUGAUCAAAACACGUCCAAGGCUUUCUUCCAAGUUUUUCAAUCAGCUCUUGCCAAAUUUGGGCUGUCUUCUUCUUAAACACCACACACAACACACUAAGAAUAUGGUGACAUCACCGACUAUUGAGAGGGGAAGAAAUCGAAAGACGAGGAAAGCGAGAGAAAGAGAGAAGAUGAGAGGAGAGAAGAGCGGAGGGGAGGGGGGAGACGAGCCUCCGUUUCGUUUUGCCCGCCCGCCCGCCGGCGUUAAUCAAUUGAGUCUGGAUUCGUUUUUUCUCAGUUACUUGCUGUUCUUCUCAAACCGAAGAAAGUCAGAAUAGAAAUUUACCCCCCGGCGCGGCAGGAUGAAGCGUUAUAAAGGGAUAAGAAAAAAGUACACCUUUCUGAAGAUGACUGUCGUCUGUCUCUCGGAUGGAUAUUUUCUACUACGAUGGAUUUAAGGUAAGGUUGUAAAAGUCUUGUGGGUGGGUGGGUGUUUCCAAGGGAAAGCCAGCCAGCCAUGGCUAUGUUAUGUAAUGUAAUGUAAUAUAUGCAGGGAUGAGGAGGGGGUGGGGUUUUUAGUAUUGUUGGUGAUGUGCCAAUAGGAAUAUGUUGGAUAUCGCGUAAGCCUGUAGGAACUGAGGUAACAGCACGUGACUUAUCUGUCGAAAAUGGGCCAGAUCACAUGAGUUUUCAAUUUGAGCUUUUAGGCCCAGGUUAAUGUUAUAUUGGGCUGGUUACCUCUGCAUAUAUCAUUUAAUCGACAGACUCUGGGCCACGUGGGCUGCGUCGAAAAUGAGCAUAUAUGUGGGAAAUUUUGUCGUGUAUAGUAUGGGCCUGUUGGACCUGAACGGACAGCAUGUGAAUCAUGAUUCAGUGUAAGGGCUAUGUUGUGCUGUAAAGGCCUUUGAAAUUAAUAUGGAACUGCAGUAUGGGUCAAUA